GAUGAAGCUUGACCCACUGCAGUCCCUAGUAGAACAGUAUCUGAAACGACCUUCACACAGCUGAAAGUCCAUAUUGUAUCUACUCCUGCCAGGUCAACAGCUCCUGCUGGGUUGCCCCAAUACCAGGAUGACCCAACAAGCAGGAGUAUGUUCACCUGGAAGGAAAUCAGCCACCUGCUCGUUAAUGACCCAAUCUACAACAGUAAGUUUUUCUUGAGGACCAUCAAGGUGCAGAGACAUGGGAAGAUCCAUUAAUGCACUAGGGAUUGGUUCAUCAGCAGAAGGUAACUGGAUGAGGUCCUCAUGCCCCACAACCUGUGAAGCAGGAGCAGCAAGUUGGGUGUUUGAAUUGGAAUUUGAAUAUGGGGUUUCAGGUUCCCUAUACUGGAUUAGGAAUUGCAUCUCUCUGCUUAUUAGACUUAUCAAAGGAAUUCGAUUCUUGCUGUACUUGGUUCCUAUCCUUCUGGUCCCCCAAAACUCAUGCUGGAUUUGCUGAGUUUCCGCCAGGCUACACAUCCCAGAGUGCAGAUUCCGUUGCUGGGAAGCAAAUAGAGGUGGAGGGGGCGAUCAUGUUCCACAUGCCUGAUCUUUAUUCUAACUUCAUAUUUAAAGUCAUCCAUUGAAACAUCCACGAACGGAGGGAUGGAGACUUGGUUCUUACAGAAAACAAUAAGAUUGAGAGAGAAAAGGUCUAAGCAACCAGCACUUCUAGAGUCAACAGCAUGUAAGAUGCCAGACCUUGGUGAUUGAUCAUGAUUGGCUGUGAGAUGAAAAAGGAGCUAAUCAAAACCC